rnacentral:rRNA from 1 species
CGUCAGCUCGUGUCGUGAGAUGUUGGUUAAGUCCGCAACGAGCGCAACCCCUAUUGUUAGUUGCCAUCAUUCAGUUGGGCACUCUAGCGAGACUGCCGGUAAUAAACCGGAGGAAGGUGGGGAUGACGUCAAAUCAUCAUGCCCCUUAUGACCUGGGCUACACACGUGCUACAAUGGUUGGUACAACGAGUUGCGAGUCGGUGACGGCGAGCUAAUCUCUUAAAGCCAAUCUCAGUUCGGAUUGUGGGCUGCAACUCGCCUACAUGAAGUCGGAAUCGCUAGUAAUCGCGGAUCAGCACGCCGCGGUGAAUACGUUCCCGGGCCUU